AUGAAAUAUAUUAGUCUGCAAGUGUUAAGAGCUGCAACAUCCAAUUUUUCUAUAGACAAUAAACUGGGAGAGGGAGGAUUCGGAGAAGUUUUUAAGGGCGAAUUGCAGAAUGGAAUGAAAAUAGCCGUGAAAAGGCUGUCAAAGAACUCAGCUCAAGGGUUUGAUGAGCUGAAAAAUGAGCUAGUGUUAGCUAACAGACUUGAGCACAAGAAUUUGGUGCCCCUUCUCGGUGUUUGCUUGCAAGAGAAACUGGUGGUGUACGAAUAUAUGCCUAAUGGAAGCCUACACACGAGCCUUUUCAAUUCUGAGAAGGCACACCAACUGGACUGGACGAAAAGAAACACGAUCAUCUCUGGGAUUGCUCGAGGUCUAUUGUAUCUCCACGAGGAGUCUCGUCUAAAAGUCAUACACCGUGACCUGAAGCCAAGCAACGUCUUAUUAGACCUGGAUAUGAACCCCAAGAUCUCAGACUUUGGUCUGUCUAGGGCUUUCGGUGAAGAUCAGUCGAUGGAUAUAACAAAACGCCCUGUCGGUACACUUGGAUACAUGUCUCCCGAGUACGCGUACUGUGGCCAAGUCUCUACCAAGUCAGACAUGUACAGCUUCGGGGUCAUAGUUAUCGAGAUUGUGACUGGUCGAAGGAACAAUAGGUCACUGGAAGAUUAUGAUACCGCCUCCAGAUAUCUUCUCAGCUAUGUAUGGGAAAAGUGGAAUGCAGGAUCGAUGGAAGAGGUGGUGGAUUCCUGCCUGGGCGGUCGUUACCCCGAGAGCGAGGCGCUAAACUGUGUGCACAUCGGACUGCUAUGCGUCCAGGAGGAUCCCAGCGCCAGGCCAGAUGCGUCCGAGGUAGUGCUCAUGCUCGACAGCCACUCCACGUCCAUGAAUAUGCGCACUCCCUCCAGGCCUGCGUUCUGCUUCACACAACCUGGCGUCGUCAGGCAUGCUACGGCCAACGGCCAACUGUCUACCCCCGUUUCAGACAAUGAAGUGACGAUUUCGGAUCUCCAGCCUAGGUAG
rnacentral:rRNA from 1 species